rnacentral:rRNA from 1 species
UACGUAGGGAGCAAGCGUUGUCCGGAAUCAUUGGGCGUAAAGCGCGCGUAGGCGGCCCGGUAAGUCCGUUGUAAAAGUCAAAGGCUCAACCUUUGAAAGCCGAUGGAUACUGCCGGGCUAGAAUCCGGAAGAGGCGAGUGGAAUUCCUGGUGUAGCGGUGAAAUGCGUAGAUAUCUGGAGGAACACCGGUGGCGAAGGCGGCAUCCUGGACCAUUACUGACACUGAAAAGCGAAAGCCAGGGGAGCAAACGGG